rnacentral:lncRNA from 1 species
GCCGUCGCCGCCGCGCUCCCCCCGUGCCCCCCCCCUCCCCCGCCCUCCCGGCCCGGGCCUGCCAGGCCGAGCGUUUACCGCGGGCUGGCGCCGAGGCGCGCGGUCACCGACUGCAGGCGGCGGCGGCUCCGACCUUCCCACGGGCCCGGCAAGGAGGGCGAGGGGGAGGGGAGAGAACUUUUGCUGUGGCAGCUCCGGCGACAGCUCCCACCCCUGCGCCUUUCUCCUCUUCCUCCCCCUCCUCCUCCUCCUCCUCUUCCUCCUUCUCUUCCUCCUCCCAGAGCAGUCGAGAAGCAGACAUGGCGCGGCUAGAGCGCCGCCGCGGUCGCCGCCGCUUGCCUGAGCGGUGCAUUGUGGGAAGCCCCGCACACAGGAAGCGCUCGGCCCUCGCCUGGCACGGAGACCUGGCUGCGAGACCCGGAGCGUGGCUUUGAUUCCGGCGCCUGCGUGUCAGCCGCGCAGCGUGGCCGGGGAAGCUGGCCUCGCGCCGCGGUCCCCCUGAUGGGCCUGCGAGGAAGACGCUUUGAAAUAGAGCGGAGCUGGGAAAGCUCCUGCGAGGGACGACCGCCCCUUGAGGCUGGCCUCUUACCUAGCCUCUCAUCUGCGACCCCGAGGGUCACGUUUUCCGGAAGAUGCAAUCCUGCAUCCUUGAACCAGAAGACCUUGUUGGAGUCUGCAAACUGUGAUGCAGGGUGUGAGCACCGAGAAAAAGCAAAGAGAUCCCAGUCGGGACUUUGUUGGGCCCAAACCUCGUUCUGCGCACCAACAAAGAUCUGAUUAUGAUCUAUACAGACCUAAGAUUGCUCAUUUGUCCCGUCUUUUGGAGACUCUUUGGUGACCUUCAGUAAAUCGUGUCCUUCCUACCCUCAUUUAACUAACAUCAAGCCCCUGAGUUGCCUGUACAGAGGGAUGGCUUACAAUUACGCGCUUUUGUACCACACACUAAUACAAGGUCAGCUAGCAACUGUUUCUUGCUUUCCUAAAGAGAAUGAUGUAGCCACACUGAGAACUGAAGAGCUGGGCUGGGAGUGCAGCUCAGCGGUAG